UACGAGUACCCCAAGCGUUAUCCGGAAUCAUUGGGCGUAAAGGGUGUGUAGGCGGCUGCCUUAGUCUUCUGUCAAAACCUCGGGCUUAACCCGCGGCUUGCAGUGGAAACGGAGCGGCUUGAGGAUGCGAGAGGUGAAUGGAACUCAUGGAGUAGGGGUGAAAUCCGUUGAUAUUAUGGGGAACAUCGAAAGCGAAGGCAAUUCACUGGCGCAGAUCUGACGCUGAAACACGAAAGCGUGGGUAGCGAACGGG
rnacentral:rRNA from 1 species